CGUCCCGAAAAUUGAAUAUAUACAUAAACGACAAGCCUAAUAUACAAAAAAAUAAAUCGCCAGGUAACACCAUAUCACUUAACUAGCAACUUUGAGCACAUUUUUCCUUAAAUAUUUUUCUUUGUCCCUACUCUACAGGACUAUGUCCGGCAUCAAUUGUGCUCUAUCGUUGGUCUGCCGUUACUAUACCGGACUGACGCUAUCUCUGCCAACAUAACUGUCUUUCUUGAACAUCUCUAUUUUUUUGUGCUUCCAUCGAAGCUACUAUGAUAUAUACCGUUCACGCGCUCAACAAAUGUAUGCUCUCUUACCUCUCUAAUUUAAAGAUAUAAAAUGUCUUGAAAGCAACAAUACAUAUAACAUAAUUAUCAGUUCAACACGAAAGUCAAAUACAACUGUAGAAAGGAUGAACCAACGCAGAAAACGCCAGGACUUCACAGCUGGUAGGAACAUAUUCUUGCCAGGUGACACUGGAUGGACGAUUUACUUCUGAUGAUUCAUACACAGCACAUAACAACACGGGAAAUUUUCAAACUCAAAAGUCAAAAUACACAGUAUACAGGAAAGGAAACGCAUAACUCACACACAGUGACACAGACAGUUCACUAAUUCAAUUUUGGACAGUCCUUGUUUGGUCUUGGUAAGAUCGCCGCUCGACCAACAUCGACGAUCUGGAUCUCCUCUCGGUCCACCUAUUCCACUGAACACAGUCCAACUUGCGACGCCAAAUGUUUGACUGCAUUCUCCGCUUGGUUGCCCGCUCGGUUUGUCUUACUCUUGUCUUAAUACCAUGGCCUUGAUUGCGGCUAUUGCGCGUCUUCGAUCAUUAUCCCACCGCUGCCACAAAAUUUGUAACGUGCCGCGAUGGUACACAACAAGCGCUCGUAAUCA